GCCAGAGACUCCCAUGUUCCUGUAAGCUAUAGUCUAUAGCCCUUCCUCUUGAAUUAAUCUCUCUAUCAAAAUAAAUGGUAAAACAAUAAUUUAAUGUUCAUGUUGGAAAUUUAUGGUCAGAUUUUGGCACCUUUGCCAAUUGGGUUCGCUGUGUUCUUGGUGCACUUGGCUACCAUCCCAAUUACAGGAACUGGUAUCAACCCAGCUCGUAGUCUUGGUGCAGCAAUCAUCUUCAACAAGGACAAGGGCUGGGAUGAUCACGUAAGUCAUUAAACUUCUCAAUACUUUCUUUCUCAAAUUCUUUACUAGUGCACGGCCCAUUAUUUACUUCUACAUUGGGUUUGCCUUCUGGUGCAUGUUCAGUGGAUUUUCUGGGUGGGUCCAUUCAUUGGAGCAGCACUUGCAGCUCUAUACCACCAAGUUGUGAUCAGAGCCAUCCCUUUCAAGAAGUGAUCAUGAUGCAAAUGUUUAUGGCCAUUUCUUGUUUUCAAAAUCAAGACCAAGAUCGAGCUCAGUUUGUUAGCUUGUUUAUCUGUUUCAUUACUGUGUACUUUUAACCAUAUGAGCACCCUGUAAUAAUAGCACUAUGUUUUCCUUGUCAAAGAGCCUUCUUCUACCUUCCUUUUUAUCUGUGGAAGGGAAGGAAAGUGGGCCAUGUCUGAUGAGCCCAUCUUAAGUUAGGUGGGCUGUAUGUAUUCCUAUGAUGGUAUUUAUGUGAAUGGUUGUGAAUUUCUGGAAUGUCAUUUUCUUUGGCUCCGACCAAAAACCUACUUCUUAGCUCAUGCUCUAAAAGAGUACAAUAAUUGAUAGUGCCAAGUUGUCCUUUUUCCCCGUUUAUCUUGUAAUUAUUAAUGUUGUGUGAGGUGGGAUAAGGCAGCUUUUGAUGAUUUGGCUUUGCUUCCUUCCAUUUUUUUCCCUUCCCCUCUCUAGAAUAUUGAAUUUCUUUAGUUUCUUACUCUAGCUUGGAGAUAAGCUUUAUUAUUGCGACUAAUCUACGAGAUAAUAUACAAAAAUUCCUGUUAUAAUCACAGCUUUUGGAUACAAUUCUUUACUUAUGCUAUGCAACUCCGG
rnacentral:misc_RNA from 1 species